GACGAACGCUGGCGGCGCGCUUAACACAUGCAAGUCGAACGGUAAGGCCCUCCGGGGUACACGAGUGGCGAACGGGUGAGUAACACGUGGGUGAUCUGCCCUGCACUUCGGGAUAAGCCUGGGAAACUGGGUCUAAUACCGGAUAGGACCCUGGGAUGCAUGUCCUGGGGUGGAAAGCUUUUGCGGUGUGGGAUGGGCCCGCGGCCUAUCAGCUUGUUGGUGGGGUGAUGGCCUACCAAGGCGACGACGGGUAGCCGGCCUGAGAGGGUGACCGGCCACACUGGGACUGAGAUACGGCCCAGACUCCUACGGGAGGCAGCAGUGGGGAAUAUUGCACAAUGGGCGCAAGCCUGAUGCAGCGACGCCGCGUGAGGGAUGACGGCCUUCGGGUUGUAAACCUCUUUCAGCACCGACGAAGCGCAAGUGACGGUAGGUGCAGAAGAAGGACCGGCCAACUACGUGCCAGCAGCCGCCGUAA
rnacentral:rRNA from 1 species